CGCGUAGGCGGUUUGCUAAGUUGAAUGUGAAAACUCUGGGCUUAACCCAGAGCCUGCAUUCAAUACUGGCAGGCUAGAGUUCUGGAGGGGAUAGCGGAAUUCCUGGUGUAGCGGUGAAAUGCGUAGAUAUCAGGAGGAACACCGGUGGCGAAGGCGGCUAUCUGGACAGAGUCUGACGCUGAGGCGCGAAGCAGGGAGCAAACA
rnacentral:rRNA from 1 species